rnacentral:rRNA from 1 species
GAUGAACGCUGGCUACAGGCUUAACACAUGCAAGUCGAGGGGCAGCAUUUCAGUUUGCUUGCAAACUGGAGAUGGCGACCGGCGCACGGGUGAGUAACACGUAUCCAACCUGCCGAUAACUCGGGGAUAGCCUUUCGAAAGAAAGAUUAAUACCCGAUGGUAUAAUUAGACCGCAUGGUCUUGUUAUUAAAGAAUUUCGGUUAUCGAUGGGGAUGCGUUCCAUUAGGCAGUUGGUGAGGUAACGGCUCACCAAACCUUCGAUGGAUAGGGGUUCUGAGAGGAAGGUCCCCCACAUUGGAACUGAGACACGGUCCAAACUCCUACGGGAGGCAGCAGUGAGGAAUAUUGGUCAAUGGGCGCAGGCCUGAACCAGCCAAGUAGCGUGAAGGAUGACUGCCCUAUGGGUUGUAAACUUCUUUUAUAUGGGAAUAAAGUUUUCCACGUGUGGAAUUUUGUAUGUACCAUAUGAAUAAGGAUCGGCUAACUCCGUGCCAGCAGCCGCGGUAAUACGGAGGAUCCGAGCGUUAUCCGGAUUUAUUGGGUUUAAAGGGAGCGUAGGUGGACAGUUAAGUCAGUUGUGAAAGUUUGCGGCUCAACCGUAAAAUUGCAGUUGAUACUGGCUGUCUUGAGUACAGUAGAGGUGGGCGGAAUUCGUGGUGUAGCGGUGAAAUGCUUAGAUAUCACGAAGAACUCCGAUUGCGAAGGCAGCCUGCUAAGCUGCA